UUCCGAGUGUAGCGGUGAAAUGCGUAGAUAUUCGGAGGAACACCAAUUGCGAAGGCAGCUCACUGGGCCGCUAUCGACGCUGAGGAGCGAAAGCUAGGGGAGCAAACAGGAUUAGAUACCCUGGUAGUCCUAGCUGUAAACGAUGGAUACUAGACGUAGGAACUGGAUUGACGGUUUCUGUGUCGUAGCUAACGCGUUAAGUAUCCCGCCUGGGGAGUACGGUCGCAAGACUAAAACUCAAAGGAAUUGACGGGACCCCGCACAAGCGGCGGAGCAUGCGGCUUAAUUCGAUGAUACCCGUAGAACCUUACCUGGACUUGACAUAUAGGGUCUAGCUAUAGAGAUAUAGUGUGCAUUAGCGCCCUAUACAGGUGGUGCAUGGCUGCCGUCAGCUCGUGUCGUGAGAUGUUGGGUUAAGUCCCGCAACGAGCGCAACCCCUGUCCUAUGUUGCCAGCAUUUAGUUGGGGACUCAUAGGAGACUGCCGGUGAUAAACCGGAGGAAGGUGGGGACGACGUCAAGUCAUCAUGCCCCUUAUGUCCAGGGCUGCACGCAUGCUACAAUGGCAAGUACAACGAGUCGCAAUACCGCGAGGUGGAGCAAAUCUCUUAAAGCUUGUCUCAGUUCGGAUAGGAGUCUGCAACUCGACUCCUUGAAGUUGGAGUCGCUAGUAAUCGCAAAUCAGCAAAGUUGCGGUGAAUACGUUCUCGGGGUUUGUACACACCGCCCGUCAAGUCACGGAAGUCGGCAAUACCCGAAGCCAGUGGUCCAACCCUUUUAGGGAGGAAGCUGUCGAAGGUAGGGUCGGUAACUGGGACUAAGUCGUAACAAGGUAACC
rnacentral:rRNA from 1 species